rnacentral:lncRNA from 1 species
GGAACCCAGGCCCUCCAACGCUGAACAAUACUGUUUCCUCUGGAAGGGAGCUGUCAAAAACGCCAUCUCAACUCGCGUCAUUCUUGUACGUGUGCACGACUGAAGCCUAGAGUGCGCCUGGGGAUGCCCUGUGAGUCUCACGUCUGCUCAGGGUGGCAUUCCCACUGCCCUCCGGGGCCCAGAGACAAGCUCGGAGCAACGGCGAGCAGUCACCCCUUCCCCUGGGCCACCUGCGCACACGGGAAACGUGCCAGGAGUAGCGCCUGCCUCUCCGUCGCACCACUGGGACUAUUCUUGCAUCGGUUGCCUUUGAUGGGUCCUUUCGGUGAACCUAUGGUGGUGCUUCUGGUGCAUCUCGCUGUCAUCAUGGCUGCAGGAGUCAGGGCUGGGGUUAAGAAUUUGUCUGGAAUUGGGUUUGCCAUUUUCCAGGUUGGGGGUCAGGCCUCUGGACAAAACCAGGGCUUAAA